UUCAUCUUCUUCUUCUCUUCCUCUCUUUUUAGUUUGGUUUAUUUGUAAGUGAAGUUUGGGGUUAAAUUAAAGGAGGCAGCAUUUAGGUGAUAUGGUGUUGACAGAAGAUAGAGAGCACAGAUGAUGAUAUGCAAAUUUCUGUAUCUCACUCCAUUUGUGCUCUCUAUGCUUCUGUCAUCACCCUCUUCACCCUCCUUUAACAUCCCAUCUUCACUUUAGUUUUGUGUUUGAUUCUAUGUAAAAGGGUUUUAAGACUCUCAAGCAUUGUCUCUAUGAUUCUUUGUAUAUAUCCAUGAGCAAUUAGUUGAGUUUGUAGCCCUAAGAACUGUGCUGAUUUGUGUGUUGCUGGUGUUUUGUGUUGCAGUCCAAAUUGGGCAAGGGGAUGAAGAGGAUCGAGACAUAUAAUGUAACGAUCUGAAGCCACCGUUAGUAGAUAUUGUUCGUUAUGAGUUGUUAUGUAUCACUGUCUGCCUCUACUAAGGAGAGGUUUCCACCCACUUAUAAGAAAUGCUUUGUUCCCCUCUCCGAUCUCACAUAUAAGAAUCGACCCGUUGGAUAAAUUUUCAAAAAAAGUAACCUUUUGGGUAUGUUCGGCAAAUUAAGAAAGUUCCAUGAAUACACUUUGGAAAUGAUGAAGAAGGAGAAGAUGAUAUGCCAAAUGAUAUUAAGAGAGUGAAGUGAGUAUUCCUCAAAGGGGGAAAUGAGGCAUGCACUGCCCACAUGGUUGAUUGAUUUGUGGUGCCAAAAUUGAUUCAUAUAAUGUUGUUGUUGUUCAUAUUAUCCAAUUGAUUUUGUAAUAAUAAGGCCUUUCAUGUUAACAUGGAGGGAGCUUUCUCUAAAAUUAUUAGGGUUUUGUUCAUUACACAAAAUAGUGAAACAUUUGGAGCUUUAAACCACAAAGUUUCAUGAGGA